rnacentral:rRNA from 1 species
AACGAACGCUGGCGGCGCGCCUAACACAUGCAAGUCGAACGAGAAGGCGUAGCAAUACGCUUGUAAAGUGGCGAACGGGUGAGGAAUACGUGGGUAACCUACCCUCGAGUGGGGAAUAACCAACCGAAAGGUUGGCUAAUGCCGCGUACGCUUCCAUCUCUUCGGAGGUGGAAGGAAAGCUGUACCGUGGGUACAGCGCUCAAGGAUGGGCUCACGUCCUAUCAGCUUGUUGGUAGGGUAACGGCCACCAAGGCAACGACGGGUAGCUGGUCUGAGAGGACGAUCAGCCACACUGGCACUGCGACACGGGCCAGACUCCUACGGGAGGCAGCAGUGAGGAAUAUUGCGCAAUGGGCGAAAGCCUGACGCAGCGACGCCGCGUGGGGGAUGAAGGUCUUCGGAUUGUAAA